CGCGGCCUAUCAGCUUGUUGGUGGGGUAACGGCCUACCAAGGCAUCGACGGGUAGCUGGUCUGAGAGGACGAUCAGCCACACUGGGACUGAGAUACGGCCCAGACUCCUACGGGAGGCAGCAGCAGGGAAUCUUGCGCAAUGGGCGCAAGCCUGAUGCAGCGACGCCGCGUGGGGGAUGACGGCCCUCGGGUUGUAAACUCCUUUCGCCAGGGACGAAGCGUUUUGUGACGGUACCUGGAUAAGAAGCACCGGCUAACUACGUGCCAGCAGCCGCGGUAAUACGUAGGGUGCGAGCGUUGUCCGGAAUUACUGGGCGUAAAGAGCUCGUAGGUGGUUUGUCGCGUCGUUUGUGGAAUACCGCAGCUUAACUGUGGGGUUGCAGGCGAUACGGGCAUAACUUGAGUGCUGUAGGGGAGACUGGAAUUCCUGGUGUAGCGGUGGAAUGCGCAGAUAUCAGGAGGAACACCGAUGGCGAAGGCAGGUCUCUGGGCAGUAACUGACGCUGAGGAGCGAAAGCAUGGGUAGCGAACAGGAUUAGAUACCCUGGUAGUCCAUGCCGUAAACGGUGGGCGCUAGGUGUGAGUCCCUUCCACGGGGUUCGUGCCGUAGCUAACGCAUUAAGCGCCCCGCCUGGGGAGUACGG
rnacentral:rRNA from 1 species